rnacentral:rRNA from 1 species
UACGUAGGGUGCGAGCGUUGUCCGGAAUUACUGGGCGUAAAGAGCUCGUAGGUGGUUUGUCGCGUUGUUCGUGAAAUCUCACGGCUUAACUGUGAGCGUGCGGGCGAUACGGGCAGACUUGAGUACUGCAGGGGAGACUGGAAUUCCUGGUGUAGCGGUGGAAUGCGCAGAUAUCAGGAGGAACACCGGUGGCGAAGGCGGGUCUCUGGACCGCAACUGACGCUGAGACACGAAAGCGUGGGUAGCAAACAGG